UACGUAGGGGGCAAGCGUUGUCCGGAUUUAUUGGGCGUAAAGAGCGCGCAGGCGGUCGGCCAAGUCGAGUGUGAAAGCCCCCGGCUCAACUGGGGAGGGUCAUUCGAUACUGGUCGACUCGAAGGCAGGAGAGGGAAGCGGAAUUCCCGGUGUAGUGGUGAAAUGCGUAGAUAUCGGGAGGAACACCAGUGGCGAAGGCGGCUUCCUGGCCUGUUCUUGACGCUGAGGCGCGAAAGCUAGGGGAGCAAACGGG
rnacentral:rRNA from 1 species